UGGGGAAUAUUGGACAAUGGGCGAAAGCCUGAUCCAGCCAUGCCGCGUGUGUGAAGAAGGUCUUCGGAUUGUAAAGCACUUUAAGUUGGGAGGAAGGGCAUUAACCUAAUACGUUAGUGUUUUGACGUUACCGACAGAAUAAGCACCGGCUAACUCUGUGCCAGCAGCCGCGGUAAUACAGAGGGUGCAAGCGUUAAUCGGAAUUACUGGGCGUAAAGCGCGCGUAGGUGGUUUGUUAAGUUGGAUGUGAACUCCCCCGGCUCAACCUGGGAACUGCAUUCAAAACUGACUGACUAGAGUAUGGUAGUGGGUGGUGGAAUUUCCUGUGUAGCGGUGAAAUGCGUAGAUAUAGG
rnacentral:rRNA from 1 species